UAGAUAACCUCAUGCCAAUCGCACAUCCCCGUGACAGCAACUACGCAUUUGGAUGUCUGUCCUAUCAACUUUCUAUGGUACUUUCUACGCCUACCAUGGUGACCACGGGUAACGGUGAAUCAGGGUUCGAUUCCAGAGAGGGAGCCUGAGAAACGGCUACCACAUCAAAGGAAGGCAGCAGACGCGCAAAUUACCCACUCCCGAUGCGGGGAGAAGGUGA